rnacentral:rRNA from 1 species
CACAUGCAAGUCGAGGGGAAACGACAUCGAAAGCUUGCUUUUGAUGGGCGUCGACCGGCGCACGGGUGAGUAACGCGUAUCCAACCUGCCCAUCACUUGGGGAUAACCUUGCGAAAGUAAGACUAAUACCCAAUGAUAUCUCUAGAAGGCAUCUGAAAGAGAUUAAAGAUUUAUCGGUGAUGGAUGGGGAUGCGUCUGAUUAGCUUGUUGGCGGGGUAACGGCCCACCAAAGCAACGAUCAGUAGGGGUUCUGAGAGGAAGGUCCCCCACAUUGGAACUGAGACACGGUCCAAACUCCUACGGGAGGCAGCAGUGAGGAAUAUUGGUCAAUGGACGAGAGUCUGAACCAGCCAAGUAGCGUGCAGGAUGACGGCCCUAUGGGUUGUAAACUGCUUUUAUAAGGGAAUAAAGUGAGUCUCGUGAGACUUUUUGCAUGUACCUUAUGAAUAAGGACCGGCUAAUUCCGUGCCAGCAGCCGCGGUAAUACGGAAGGUCCGGGCGUUAUCCGGAUUUAUUGGGUUUAAAGGGAGCGUAGGCCGGAGAUUAAGCGUGUUGUGAAAUGUAGAUGCUCAACAUCUGCACUGCAGCGCGAACUGGUUUCCUUGAGUACGCACAAAGUGGGCGGAAUUCGUGGUGUAGCGGU